ACAAUGGGGGAAACCCUGAUGGUGCGACGCCGCGUGGGGGAUGAAGGUCUUCGGAUUGUAAACCCCUGUCAUUUGUGAACAAACCUUUUGGUUUAAUAGAUCAAAAGCUGAUAGUAGCAAAAGAGGAAGGGACGGCUAACUCCGUGCCAGCAGCCGCGGUAAUACGGAGGUCCCAAGCGUUGUUCGGAUUUACUGGGCGUAAAGGGUGCGUAGGUGGCCAGGAAAGUUUGAUGUGAAAGCUCCGAGCUCAACUCGGAAAAUGCAUUGAAUACUACUUGGCUUGAGGAUCGGAGGGGAGACUGGAAUUCUCGGUGUAGCAGUGAAAUGCGUAGAUAUCGAGAGGAACACCAGUGGCGAAGGCGAGUCUCUGGACGAUUCCUGACACUGAGGCACGAAAGCUAGGGGAGCAAACAGGAUUAGAUACCCUGGUAGUCCUAGCCGUAAACGGUGCACACUUGCUGUAGGAGGAUUCGACCCCUUCUGUGGCGGAGCAAACGCGUUAAGUGUGCCGCCUGGGGAGUACGGUCGCAAGAUUAAAACUCAAAGAAAUUGACGGGGGCCUGCACAAGCGGUGGAGUAUGUGGCUUAAUUCGAUGCAACGCGAAGAACCUUACCUGGCCUUGACAUGCAUCUCUAAGCGUGUGAAAGCACGUGACCCUUCGGGGAAUUUGCACAGGUGCUGCAUGGCUGUCGUCAGCUCGUGUCGUGAGAUGUUGGGUUAAGUCCCGCAACGAGCGCAACCCUUGUGUCCUGUUGCCACUUCCGCUAACGCGGAAAGCACUCUGGACAGACUGCCUCGUCUCAACGAGGAGGAAGGUGGGGAUGACGUCAAGUCAGUAUGGCCCUUACGGCCAGGGCUGCACACGUACUACAAUGCCUGGUACAAUGGGAAGCAAUACCGUGAGGUGGAGCAAAUCCUCAAAACCAGGCCCAGUUCAGAUUGUAGUCUGCAACUCGACUACAUGAAGUCGGAAUCGCUAGUAAUGGCGCAUCAGCUACGGCGCCGUGAAUACGUUCCCAGGCCUUGUACACACCGCCCGUCACAUCAUGAAAGCCGGUUGUACCCGAAGUCGCUGAGCUAACCCGCAAGGGAGGCAAGUGCCGAAGGUAUGGCUGGUAAUUGGGAUGAAGUCGUAACAAGGUAGCCGUAGGGGAACCUGCGGCUG
rnacentral:rRNA from 1 species